CCAGGUAAUACCGUGGUAACAACUAUCACAAUAACAAUCUUAUUUAUCAAUGCCUGCAGUUUUGGGGAACUACAUCUUGGAAAAUGAGUGUUCAUAUGAAAGAAGGGAGUCUCCAUAUAGAGGCUACAGAUGAGGCCCAUACUUCCUCUGUUAAAGCCCCCCCAAAGAGGAAAGAGGAAAGUACUAUGUGUAGACCGUGGAAAGUACCAUGUGAAACUGCAAGUAAACAAGAACUGCAAGCUUACAUAACGAAGACCCCCUCAGCGUUUAAUCGACGGUUUUUCAGAAGGGGAUGCAUCAUUUGUGGCCAGAGUCAGAAGGAUCCUGUACACAUCCCAUGUGGACAUGUUUUCUGCAGGCAGUGCAUUCUCCCACACCUGGAAACUCAGAGUGCAACUGGAGAGUACACCUGUCCUAACUGCAGACGUAGAUAUUUAACACGUCCAACAUUGCAGGGUGAGA